UACGUAGGUGGCGAGCGUUGUCCGGAAUUACUGGGUGUAAAGGGCGUGUAGGCGGGAUCAUAAGUCAGAUGUGAAAUUCCAUGGCUUAACUGUGGCACUGCAUCUGAAACUAUGGUUCUUGAGUGCUGGAGAGGAAAGCGGAAUUCCCAGUGUAGCGGUGAAAUGCGUAGAUAUUGGGAGGAACACCAGUGGCGAAGGCGGCUUUCUGGACAGUAACUGACGCUGAGGCGCGAAAGCGUGGGGAGCAAACAGG
rnacentral:rRNA from 1 species